AGCGAACGCUGGCGGCAGGCCUAACACAUGCAAGUCGAACGAACCCUUCGGGGUUAGUGGCGGACGGGUGAGUAACACGUGGGAACGUGCCUUUAGGUUCGGAAUAACUCAGGGAAACUUGUGCUAAUACCGAAUGUGCCCUUCGGGGGAAAGAUUUAUCGCCUUUAGAGCGGCCCGCGUCUGAUUGGCUAGUUGGUGAGGUAAUGGCUCACCAAGGCUACGAUCAGUAGCUGGUCUGAGAGGAUGACCAGCCACAUUGGGACUGAGACACGGCCGAAACUCCUACGGGAGGCAGCAGUGGGGAAUCUUGCGCAAUGGGCGAAAGCCUGACGCAGCCAUGCCGCGUGGGUGAUGAAGGUCUUAGGAUUGUAAAAUCCUUUCACCGGUGAAGAUAAUGACUGUAGCCGGAGAAGAAGCCCCGGCUAACUUCGUGCCAGCCGCCGCAGUAAUAC
rnacentral:rRNA from 1 species